rnacentral:pre_miRNA from 1 species
AAGAUAAGAGCCAAUUAGGAUAGCCAAAGGACGACGCCUAAAUACCACACAAUUAAUUAUGAGUCGAACUCAUGAUUAAGAAUGAAUUUAGGCAAGUCAUCCUUGGCUACCAAAUCAGGCUCUUUAUU